AUUGAACGCUGGCGGCAGGCCUAACACAUGCAAGUCGAACGAGUGGCGAACGGGUGAGUAAUGUCUGGGAAACUGCCUGGUGGAGGGGGAUAACAACUGGAAACGGUAGCUAAUACCGCAUACCAUCAGAUGUGCCCAGAUGGGAUUAGCUAGUUGGUGGGGUAACGGCUCACCAAGGCGACGAUCCCUAGCUGGUCUGAGAGGAUGACAAGCGACACGGGAACUGAGACACGGCCCAGACUCCUACGUGAGGCAACAGUGGGGAAUAUUGCACAGUGGGUGCAAGCCGGAUGCAGCCAUGCCGCGUGUAUGAAGAAGGCCUUCGGGUUGUAAAGUACUGUCAGCGGGGAGGCGUUACCCGCAGAAGAAGCACCGGCUAACUCCGUGCCAGCCGCCGCGGUAAUUC
rnacentral:rRNA from 1 species